GUUUGUAACCUGCCUCUAACCGGAGAAUAGCCCGAAGAAAUUCGGAUUAAUGCUCCAUAUUACUAUAAGAUGGCAUCAUUUUAUAGUGAAAGCCCCGGCGGUUAGAGAUGGGCAUGCGUGACAUUAGUUUGUUGGUGAGGUAACGGCUCACCAAGACCACGAUGUCUAGGGGGUCUGAGAGGAUGGUCCCCCACACUGGUACUGAGACACGGACCAGACUCCUACGGGAGGCAGCAGUGAGGAAUAUUGGUCAAUGGGCGAAAGCCUGAACCAGCCAUGCCGCGUGAAGGAUGACAGCGCUACGCGUUGUAAACUUCUUUUGUACGGGAAGAAACACUUCUACUUGUAGAAGCUUGACGGUACCGUACGAAUAAGCAUCGGCUAACUCCGUGCCAGCAGCCGCGGUAAUACGGAGGAUGCAAGCGUUAUCCGGAUUUAUUGGGUUUAAAGGGUACGUAGGCGGGAAAUUAAGUCAGUGGUGAAAUCCUGCAGCUCAACUGUAGAACUGUCAUUGAUACUGGUUUCCUUGAAUGUAGUUGAGGUAGGCGGAAUGUGUAAUGUAGCGGUGAAAUGCUUAGAUAUUACACAGAACACCGAUUGCGAAGGCAGCUUACUAAACUACGAUUGACGCUGAGGUACGAAAGCGUGGGGAGCGAACAGGAUUAGAUACCCUGGUAGUCCACGCUGUAAACGAUGAUCACUCGUUGUUGGCGAUAUACUGUCAGCGACUGAGCGAAAGCAUUAAGUGAUCCACCUGGGGAGUACGACCGCAAGGUUUAAACUCAAAGGAAUUGUCGGGGUGCCCGCACAAGCGGAGGAACAUGUGGUUUAAUUCGUUGAUACGCGAGGAACCUUACCUGGGCUUAAAUGCAGAACGACGGACGGGGAAACUGGUCUUUCUUCGGCCGGACUGCAAGGUGCUGCAUGGCUGUCGUCAGCUCGUGCCGUGAGGUGUCGGGUUAAGUCCCAUAUCGAGCGCAACCCUCAUCAUUAGUUGCCAGCGGGUAAUUCCGGGGACUCUAAUGAAACUGCCGGUGUAAACUGAGAGGAAGGUGGGGAUGACGUCAAGUCAGCACGGCCUUUAUGUCCAGGGCUACACACCGUGUUACAAUGGUCGGUAUCAAAGGGCAGCUACCUGGCAACAGGAUGCUAAUCUCGAAAACCGAUCUUAGUUCGG
rnacentral:rRNA from 1 species